ensembl:lncRNA
GAUAAAUCGCAAAAUACCAUCUAAAUAUAGUUCUGAUGUAUAUGAGAUUCCAGUCCGCAAACCUGCUCAGGAGGAGGUGAAGAAUGAUGUGCAAGAAGAGGCUCCAACUGCCCAUAUAACUCUUUCCAAAACAAAACAAACAGUUGAGAUGCUGAAAGAGAAGAUCCAUGCUCUGGAGGAAAAAGUGGAGUCUUUGACUGAAGAGAGAAACUUUCUCAGAGAGAGACUGGAAGAUGCCCUUAAACUGAAAACUGAAGUUCCAGAACAGUCCCAGAAUCCUACAGCAUCCCAGAUGGAGUCAUCUGAAGAUACAACAUCUUCUGACUCCAGCUCUGAUUCAUCUGAGCCUUCACGAAAGAAGUAUAAAAAGAAACCAAAAAAGAAGAAAUCAAAGAAAGCACGGGCCUGUGAUUUCAAAAGAG